AACGAACGCUGGCGGCAGGCCUAACACAUGCAAGUCGAGCGAGACCUUCGGGUCUAGCGGCGGACGGGUGAGUAACGCGUGGGAACGUACCCUUUUCUGCGGAAUAGCCUCGGGAAACUGAGAGUAAUACCGCAUACGCCCUUUUGGGGAAAGAUUUAUCGGAGAAGGAUCGGCCCGCGUUGGAUUAGGUAGUUGGUGGGGUAAUGGCCUACCAAGCCGACGACCCAUAGCCGGUUUGAGAGGAUGAUCAGCCACACUGGGACUGAGACACGGCCCAGACUCCUACGGGAGGCAGCAGUGGGGAAUCUUAGACAAUGGGGGCAACCCUGAUCUAGCCAUGCCGCGUGAGUGAUGAAGGCCUUAGGGUUGUAAAGCUCUUUCAGCUGGGAAGAUAAUGACGGUACCAGCAGAAGAAGCCCCGGCUAACUCCGUGCCAGCCGCCGCGGUAAGAC
rnacentral:rRNA from 1 species